GAGUUUGUAGUGAUCAAUGAAGCAUAACCAUAAAUAGGGUUCGUUCCGCGGUCUCCUCCGUCGCAUAUUUAUCUUCGUCUUCUUAUCGAUUCUAUCUCGAAAUCCUAACCAAGAUGGCGAUCCGCCUUCGAAAUCCUGGCCGCAAUGCCAUGAUCCACCGCUUCUUCCUCCUCUGCCUCGCCGUUUCCGUCGCCGCCCUCUUUCUCCUCGUCCCCUCCACUACCUCCGCGCCGGUGAUGACCAGGAAGGAGGAGGUUGGUUCGUCCACGUCCUUGCCCUCCGAUUUGUACUCUUCGGGCCUCCAUUACGCGCGGCGGUCGGUCCUCGCCGUCCGAUCCGACCCCCUCCGGGCGCGCGCGGACCUGAUUCGGAAGCAGGUCGGCGACCACGCCGCCGUCGCCGCCGCCUACGCCUCGUUCGCGCGUCGGCUCAAGCUCGAGAGCUCAAAGCAGACGCGCCUCUUCGCUGAGCUCGCCCGCAACCUCUCCCUCCUCGUCGGCGCUCACCGUACGCUACUCCACCGUGCCGGCCCCAUCGACGAGACCGCCGUCCGUGGCUUCGAGCGCGGCGUCAAGGACCGCAUCCGCGCUGCUCGUCUCCUCAUUUCCGACGCCAAGGACUCCUUCGACAACCAGCUUAAGAUCCAGAAGCUCAAGGAUACAAUCUUCGCCGUCAACGAGCAGCUCUCCAAGGCCAAGAAGGCAGGCGCCUUCUCGUCCCUUAUCGCCGCAAAGUCCAUCCCUAGGAGCCUCCAUUGCCUCGCCAUGCGCCUCAUGGAGGAGAGGAUCGCCCAAUCGGAUCGCUACGUUGAUCCACCGACCCCUCCACCAGAGCUCGAAGACCCUAAGCUAUACCAUUAUGCCAUUUUCUCAGACAAUGUCCUUGCAGCGUCCGUCGUGGUGAACUCUGCCGUCCGCAACGCCCGUGAGCCCUGGAAGCAUGUCUUCCACGUUGUUACAGAUCGAAUGAACCUUGGGGCAAUGCAGGUUAUGUUUCGCAUGAAAGAUUACUCCGGUGCCCACAUUGAGGUCAAGGCCGUGGAGGACUAUAAAUUCCUCAACUCUUCUUAUGUGCCAGUGCUACGGCAGCUUGAGUCUGCAAACCUUCAGAGGUUCUACUUCGAGAACAAGCUGGAGAAUGCCACCAAGGACACCACUAACAUGAAGUUUAGGAACCCCAAGUACCUGUCCAUGCUAAACCAUUUAAGAUUUUACUUACCUGAGAUGCACCCGAAGCUCCACAGAAUUCUCUUCUUGGAUGAUGAUGUUGUGGUGCAAAGGGAUCUCACAGGACUGUGGAAGAUUGAUAUGGAUGGGAAAGUGAAUGGAGCAGUUGAGACAUGCUUCGGGUCAUUUCACCGUUAUGCACAGUAUAUGAACUUUUCACACCCACUGAUCAAGGAGAAGUUCAACCCUAAGGCAUGUGGGUGGGCUUAUGGGAUGAAUUUCUUUGAUCUUGAUGCAUGGAGGAAAGAGAAGUGCACUGAACAGUACCAUUACUGGCAGAAUCUGAAUGAGAACCGAACAUUGUGGAAAUUAGGGACUCUUCCGCCAGGCUUGAUCACAUUUUACUCCACGACAAAACCCUUGGACAAGUCCUGGCAUGUGCUUGGACUUGGAUAUAAUCCAAGUAUAAGCAUGGAGGAAAUCAAUAAUGCUGCUGUUGUGCAUUUUAAUGGAAAUAUGAAACCUUGGCUUGAUAUUGCCAUGAACCAGUUCCGACAUCUGUGGACAAAGUACGUGGACUACGAUAUGGAGUUUGUUCGCCAGUGCAAUUUUGCAGCAUAAUGAGAAUUUAUACAGCCAGAGGCCCAGGGCUUCUGUUGGAAAACCAAACAACAAUCAGAUCGGGAUGUUUCCCGCACAUGAAUUAUUUGUACGGUCUUGAUUUGAUUUAGUCCCACCGAACGCACGUGAAUGGUCCAUUCGCACGCGGGGCCGACGCCGGUGACCCACGUCUAACACGUGCCAGAAAGGGCCAACGUCAGUUCUCACGUGCCAAUGGUCGUCUUAAAAGAGGAAGUAUCGGAAGCUCCGGACCCUAGAAAAGGAACCUGCAGGAGAGAACCCACCGGCAUUUCCUUCUUACCCUCCUCUUCAACCGCCGCAUAUCAAUCUCGAAACGCGAGCCUCUUCGGCCCCGGCAGCCUUCGGAUCCGUUG